GGCCGUGUGCUCUCAUUUGCUCUACGAAAUAUUCACAGAGACUUGAUAUUUUCCUCUUUCACGCUUUUUUUCACAUUAUUUUCUCUCAGUGGAUUAACAUCAUUGGAGUUUCCCAGCUUGGACUCUACUAAAACUCUUGACGAUGACCAGGAGUCGGCUUCAGACAUUUACCUGGAUCCGUCUCCAUCUGCUCUGUGUCGCCGCCUCUGCUCCACGAUCAUUGUGCAG